GUUUUGAUAUUCUAGUAACUGAAAUUUGCUUUGUGAAUCUUAUGUCCUGUCUUUUAUCUUUAUUUAGUGCUAAACAUUGUGUUGUAAAUACCUUAUUAGAUUUUAAACAUUUUCCAGUGGAUUUCAUUUCCCAGACCCUGUAGAUUUGAGUUGUUGGAAGGCUCGGCUAAACAAGUUAGUGACUGCAGGGGGCGUAGGAAGCAGGGGGAAACGGGCCCCCAACCCAGUGUUUUAUAAGGGGGGAUAAUUUUUUCGAAUCUAGAAGUAUU